UUUAAUUAAGAGUUUGAUCCUGGCUCAGGACGAACGCUGGCGGCACGCUUAACACAUGCAAGUCGAACGAGAGAAGAGAAGCUUGCUUUUCUGAUCUAGUGGCGGACGGGUGAGUAACACGUGAGCAAUCUGCCUUUCAGAGGGGGAUACCGAUUGGAAACGAUCGUUAAUACCGCAUAAUAUAAUUGAACCGCAUGAUUUGAUUAUCAAAGAUUUAUCGCUGAAAGAUGAGCUCGCGUCUGAUUAGCUAGUUGGUAAGGUAACGGCUUACCAAGGCGACGAUCAGUAGCCGGACUGAGAGGUUGAUCGGCCACAUUGGGACUGAGACACGGCCCAGACUCCUACGGGAGGCAGCAGUGGGGAAUAUUGCACAAUGGAGGAAACUCUGAUGCAGCGAUGCCGCGUGAGGGAAGAAGGUUUUAGGAUUGUAAACCUCUGUCUUCAGGGACGAAAAAUGACGGUACCUGAGGAGGAAGCUCCGGCUAACUACGUGCCAGCAGCCGCGGUAAUACGUAGGGAGCGAGCGUUGUCCGGAAUUACUGGGUGUAAAGGGAGCGUAGGCGGGAUCGCAAGUCAGAUGUGAAAACUAUGGGCUUAACCCAUAAACUGCAUUUGAAACUGUGGUUCUUGAGUGAAGUAGAGGUAAGCGGAAUUCCUAGUGUAGCGGUGAAAUGCGUAGAUAUUAGGAGGAACAUCAGUGGCGAAGGCGGCUUACUGGGCUUUAACUGACGCUGAGGCUCGAAAGCGUGGGGAGCAAACAGGAUUAGAUACCCUGGUAGUCCACGCCGUAAACGAUGAUUACUAGGUGUGGGGGGACUGACCCCUUCCGUGCCGCAGCAAACGCAAUAAGUAAUCCACCUGGGGAGUACGACCGCAAGGUUGAAACUCAAAGGAAUUGACGGGGGCCCGCACAAGCAGUGGAGUAUGUGGAUUAAUUCGAAGCAACGCGAAGAACCUUACCAGGUCUUGACAUCGUAUGCAUAGCUCAGAGAUGAGUGAAAUCUCUUCGGAGACAUAUAGACAGGUGGUGCAUGGUUGUCGUCAGCUCGUGUCGUGAGAUGUUGGGUUAAGUCCCGCAACGAGCGCAACCCUUACUGUUAGUUGCUACGCAAGAGCACUCUAGCAGGACUGCCGUUGACAAAACGGAGGAAGGUGGGGAUGACGUCAAAUCAUCAUGCCCCUUAUGACCUGGGCCUCACACGUACUACAAUGGCUGUCAACAGAGGGAUGCAAAGCCGCGAGGUGGAGCGAACCCCUAAAAGCAGUCUUAGUUCGGAUUGUAGGCUGCAACCCGCCUACAUGAAGUCGGAAUUGCUAGUAAUCGCAGAUCAGCAUGCUGCGGUGAAUACGUUCCCGGGCCUUGUACACACCGCCCGUCACGCCAUGGGAGUCGGUAACACCCGAAGCCUGUAGUCUAACCGCAAGGAGGACGCAGUCGAAGGUGGGAUUGAUGACUGGGGUGAAGUCGUAACAAGGUAGCCGUAUCGGAAGGUGCGGCUGGAUCACCUCCUUUCUA
rnacentral:rRNA from 1 species